rnacentral:rRNA from 1 species
GAUGAACGCUGGCGGCGUGCCUAAUACAUGCAAGUCGAGCGAACAGACGAGGAGCUUGCUCCUUUGACGUUAGCGGCGGACGGGUGAGUAACACGUGGAUAACCUACCUAUAAGACUGGGAUAACUUCGGGAAACCGGAGCUAAUACCGGAUAACAUGUUGAACCGCAUGGUUCAACAGUGAAAGACGGUCUUGCUGUCACUUAUAGAUGGAUCCGCGCCGCAUUAGCUAGUUGGUAAGGUAACGGCUUACCAAGGCAACGAUGCGUAGCCGACCUGAGAGGGUGAUCGGCCACACUGGAACUGAGACACGGUCCAGGCUCCUACGGGAGGCAGCAGUAGGGAAUCUUCCGCAAUGGGCGAAAGCCUGACGGAGCAACGCCGCGUGAGUGAAGAAGGUCUUCGGAUCGUAAAACUCUGUUAUUAGGGAAGAACAAAUGUGUAAGUAACUAUGCACGUCUUGACGGUACCUAAUCAGAAAGCCACGGCUAACUACGUG